rnacentral:tRNA from 1 species
CAAAAUUUUUAUCAAAUUAUAAGUCUGAUAUUAAACCUUUUAAGUUUAAAUUGAAAAUGUUAUUUAGG